rnacentral:piRNA from 1 species
UGAUUUUAGACUAGACUGUGGGUGUGGAA